UGCAGUCGCACGGGACUAUUUGAGUAGCAAUACAAGAAUAGUUUAGUGGCGCACGGGUGAGUAACACGUGAAUUACAUGCCCUGCAGAGGGGGAUAGCCCAGGGAAACUUGGAUUAAUACCCCAUGGUAUCGCGAGAUUAAAGGUGGCCGCAAGGCUGUCGCUGCAGGAUUGGUUCGCGCCCUAUCAGCUUGUUGGUGAGGUAACGGCUCACCAAGGCUACGACGGGUACCUGGUCUGAGAGGACGAUCAGGCACACUGGAACUGAGACACGGUCCAGACACCUACGGGUGGCAGCAGUCGAGAAUAAUUCACAAUGGGGGCAACCCUGAUGGUGCAACGCCGCGUGGAGGAUGAAGGUCUUCGGAUUGUAAACUCCUGUCAUCCGGGAGUAAGACCUGGCGAUGAAUAGUCGACAGGGUUGAUAGUACCGGAAGAGGAAGGGACGGCUAACUUCGUGCCAGCAGCCGCGGUAAUACGAAGGUCCCGAGCGUUGUUCGGAAUCACUGGGCGUAAAGGGAGCGUAGGCGGCGUGGUAAGUCAGAUGUGAAAUCCCGGGGCUCAACCCCGGAACUGCAUCCGAUACUGCCGUGCUAGAGGAUUGGAGAGGUAGCUGGAAUUCACGGUGUAGCAGUGAAAUGCGUAGAUAUCGUGAGGAACACUCGUGGCGAAAGCGAGCUACUGGACAACUCCUGACGCUGAGGCUCGAAGGCCAGGGUAGCGAAAGGGAUUAGAUACCCCUGUAGUCCUGGCAGUAAACGGUGCACGCUUGGUGUGAGG
rnacentral:rRNA from 1 species